rnacentral:rRNA from 1 species
AAGGUAGCGAAAUUCCUUGUCGGGUAAGUUCCGACCUGCACGAAUGGCGUAACGAUCUCCACACUGUCUCGGCCAGAGACUCGGUGAAAUUGAAGUCGCGGUGAAAAUGCCGUGUACCCGCAGAAAGACGGAAAGACCCUGUGCACCUUUACUAUAGCUUGACAUUGGGAUUUGAACCUGCAUGUGUAGGAUAGGUGGGAGGCUGUGAACUCUGUACGCCAGUAUGGAGGGAGCCAUUGUUGAAAUACCACCCUUGUUUUUUCAGGUCCCUAACCCUCAGCCGUAAGCCGGCGAGGGAACAGUGUCUGGUGGGUAGUUUGACUGGGGCGGUCGCCUCCUAAAAUGUAACGGAGGCAUGCAAAGGUUCCCUCAGGCUGAUUGGAAACCACCCGUCGAGUGCAAACGCAUAAGGGAGCUUGACUGCGAGAGAGACAUCUCGAGCAGGUACGAAAGUAGGUGUUAGUGAUCCGGUGGUCCCGAAUGGAAGGGCCAUCGCUCAUUGGAUAAAAGGUACGCCGGGGAUAACAGGCUGAUCGCAUCCAAGAGUUCACAUCGACGAUGCGGUUUGGCACCUCGAUGUCGGCUCAUCACAUCCUGGGGCUGAAGCAGGUCCCAAGGGUACGGCUGUUCGCCGUUUAAAGUGGUACGCGAGCUGGGUUUAAAACGUCGUGAGACAGUUUGGUCCCUAUCUUCUGUGGGCGAAGGAGAAUUGAGAGGGCCUGUCCCUAGUACGAGAGGACCGGGAUGGACGCACCCCUGGUGAUCCUGUUGUCGCGCCAGCGGCAUAGCAGGGUAGCUAUGUGCGGAAGGGAUAACCGCUGAAAGCAUCUAAGCGGGAAGCCUGCCUCAAGAUAAGUUCUCCCCUCGAAAGAGCUGAAGGGCCCGGGUAGACUACCCGGUCGAUAGGCUGGAGGUGUAAGCGCGGCGACGUGCUCAGCUGACCAGUACUAAUAGCCCGUGAGGCUUGUUCUC